UACGUACAAGCAGUGGGAGCACCUUCGGGUGUGACUGCGUACCUUUUGUAUAAUGGGUCAGCGACUUAUAUUCUGUAGCAAGGUUAACCGUAUAGGGGAGCCGCAGGGAAACCGAGUCUUAACUGGGCGUUAAGUUGCAGGGUAUAGACCCGAAACCCGGUGAUCUAGCCAUGGGCAGGUUGAAGGUUGGGUAACACUAACUGGAGGACCGAACCGACUAAUGUUGAAAAAUUAGCGGAUGACUUGUGGCUGGGGGUGAAAGGCCAAUCAAACCGGGAGAUAGCUGGUUCUCCCCGAAAGCUAUUUAGGUAGCGCCUCGUGAACUCAUCUUCGGGGGUAGAGCACUGUUUCGGCUAGGGGGUCAUCCCGACUUACCAACCCGAUGCAAACUACGAAUACCGAAGAAUGUUAUCACGGGAGACACACGGCGGGUGCUAACGUCCGUCGUGAAGAGGGAAACAACCCAGACCGCCAGCUAAGGUCCCAAAGUCAUGGUUAAGUGGGAAACGAUGUGGGAAGGCACAGACAGCCAGGAUGUUGGCUUAGAAGCAGCCAUCAUUUAAAGAAAGCGUAAUAGCUCACUGGUCGAGUCGGCCUGCGCGGAAGAUGUAACGGGGCUAAACCAUGCACCGAAGCUGCGGCAGCGACACUAUGUGUUGUUGGGUAGGGGAGCGUUCUGUAAGCCUGCGAAGGUGUCCUGUGAGGCAUGCUGGAGGUAUCAGAAGUGCGAAUGCUGACAUAAGUAACGAUAAAGCGGGUGAAAAGCCCGCUCGCCGGAAGACCAAGGGUUCCUGUCCAACGUUAAUCGGGGCAGGGUGAGUCGACCCCUAAGGCGAGGCCGAAAGGCGUAGUCGAUGGGAAACAGGUUAAUAUUCCUGUACUUGGUGUUACUGCGAAGGGGGGACGGAGAAGGCUAUGUUAGCCGGGCGACGGUUGUCCCGGUUUAAGCAUGUAGGCUGGUUAUCCAGGCAAAUCCGGAUAAUCAAGGCUGAGGUGUGAUGACGAGGCACUACGGUGCUGAAGUAACAAAUGCCCUGCUUCCAGGAAAAGCCUCUAAGCAUCAGGUAACAUUAAAUCGUACCCCAAACCGACACAGGUGGUCAGGUAGAGAAUACCAAGGCGCUUGAGAGAACUCGGGUGAAGGAACUAGGCAAAAUGGUGCCGUAACUUCGGGAGAAGGCACGCUGGUGUGUAGGUGAAGUCCCUGCGGAUGGAGCUGAGACCAGUCGAAGAUACCAGCUGGCUGCAACUGUUUAUUAAAAACACAGCACUGUGCAAACACGAAAGUGGACGUAUACGGUGUGACGCCUGCCCGGUGC
rnacentral:rRNA from 1 species